rnacentral:rRNA from 1 species
CGGAUGCUGACGAGUGGCGAACGGGUGAGUAAUACAUCGGAACGUGCCCGAUCGUGGGGGAUAACGAAGCGAAAGCUUUGCUAAUACCGCAUAAGAUCUACGGAUGAAAGCAGGGGACCGCAAGGCCUUGCGCGAACGGAGCGGCCGAUGGCAGAUUAGGUAGUUGGUGGGAUAAAAGCUUACCAAGCCGACGAUCUGUAGCUGGUCUGAGAGGACGACCAGCCACACUGGGACUGAGACACGGCCCAGACUCCUACGGGAGGCAGCAGUGGGGAAUUUUGGACAAUGGGCGAAAGCCUGAUCCAGCCAUGCCGCGUGCAGGAUGAAGGCCUUCGGGUUGUAAACUGCUUUUGUACGGAACGAAAAGACUCUGGUUAAUACCUGGGGUCCAUGACGGUACCGUAAGAAUAAGCACCGGCUAACUACGUGCCAGCAGCCGCGGUAAUACGUAGGGUGCAAGCGUUAAU